CACACCAUGCCAAUAUUUUAAAUAGUGAGUUAAAUACUAUAUUUGAAAUUAAUGUACCCACCAUGACACUAGAAAAGUCUAUGCAUGACGUUGAUAGAACUUUAAUAAGUACAGGCUGUCCCAUGGUUAUGAAAGCCCAACUUAUCCUAUGAUGUUAUUAAAAUCAGAAGUCCAACAUAUAUAAAUACAUUUUCCUAUGAUUGGCAGAACUAGUUUCCUAUUUCCACUUGUAGUAAUUGUUCUUUUUAUCAGUCUUACGUGCUUUUGAUGCAUUUCAUUACAAUACUACAGUGCUUGAAUUUUUUGUGUGUACAUUCCAAUUAAUGAACAAAACGAACUUCAGAACAUGCAGAAAGUGGAACCCAUUCGUCACCAAAGGCUGGCCUGUGUUGAAGUCACCCAUUUUGGAGAUGUGAUUCAAUUGAAGUUACAACUCCAUUAGCAUGAAUGUUAUUUGUUUCAGGGUAAAUAACUUUACAGAACAGUACACAUUUAAUUCUUAUCAGGGUACUUUAACAUUAUACAUAAUAUCCAACAUGAUUACAAGACAAAUAUCCCCAACAAUUCAAUAUUGUAAACUAUAGACAAAACUACAUUUUAAAUGUGGCCAUUUUAUUCUCAACAUGAGAAUCAGUUAAUUAUUUCAGGUAGAAAAUGAAGCCUAAUUAUGUGCCAGAUUUCAAUGUAGGAAUUGAAUUAUUGAUUGGAUCCUGCAAAGUCAUAUAAAUAACGCUCAAAUGCCAUGUGGCAUUUAUGCUAAAUAAGUUUUCAACUAUAAAUUUUCAACAACUUAACGUUAAAUGUUAAUGUCUUUAAAAGUGUUAGUAUGUUUUAAAUACUAAAGUAUGCAGAUUUAUGUACAUCUUUCAAAAGCACAGAAUGUGUCGCAAAAAUGCACCAUGCACUGUAACUUCAAACUUACAAUCCAAGACACAUUAGCAUAAAGUAAAUUUUUAUUAUCAAAGUACAUACAUGUCACAAUACAACCCUGAAAUUCAUGUUUUGUGGGCAUGCUCAGCAUAGUAACCAUCACAGGAUUAGCAAAAGAACAACCAGAGUGCAGAAGACAACAAAUAGUCUAAAUGCAAGUAUAAAUAUAUAGCAAUAAGUAAUGGGAACAUGAGAUAAUGAGAUAAAGAGUCUUUCAAAGUGAGGUCACUGGUCAUGGGAACAUUUCAAUAAUGGGGCAAGUGAGUGUAGUUAUCCCCUUUUAUUUGAGAGACUGAUGGUUGAAGGGUAGUAACUGUUCCUGAAGCUUUGUACCUUCUACCUGAUGGCAGCAGCGGGAAGAGAGCAUGGCCAUGGUGGUGGAGAUCUCUAAUGGCGGAUGCUGCUUUCCUACGACAGUGUUUGCACAAUGGUGAGAAGGGCCUUCCCUGUGACUGACUGGGCCAUAUCCACUACCUUUUGUAGGAUUUUCCAUACCAGGCCCUGAUGCAGUCAGUCAAUACACUCACCGCUACACAUCUAUAGAAGUUUGUUAACGUUUUAGAUGACAUGCCAAAUCUCUCCAGACUCCUAAGGAAGUAGAGGCGCUGCCAUGCUUUCUUCACAAUUGGACUUAUGCAAGUCCAGGACAGGUCCUCUGAAAUAGUAACACCCAGGAAUUUAAAGUUGCUAACCCUCUCCAGCUCUGUUAUACUAAAAAUAUGUGUACUGUUAAGCAAUCAAAUACAGUACAGUACUUCUUGUUGAACCAGAUCUCCUUGGGUCAUACUGUGAACAGCAUUUAAGUCUUCAAAAAGCAACAUCCUAGAGUUCCAACAGAGUGAUGUCAAAUGCAUGAAUUCAGCCCUUCAGAUGACCAACCAGUUCUGAUGUAAACUCCUUCCCCUGCAAUUUUUUUUCUCUCUGCAGAUGCUAUUUAUCUGCUAAGCAUUUCUGCCACUCUCUAUUAUUUCCGGUUUCCAACCAGCACUACGUUUUAUAUGCCACAGUGCCAGUGUGCGAUUACUCUCUCAUUCCCUUCAUUUAUUCUUCUCCAUUUACCUUCCUUCAAAAACAUCUGUUAUGAUUAACUAGCAUUUGGCUUCCCUUCUUAAGCAACACUGAAAGCUAUCAAGUAACCUAGACAUUUUCCCCUCCACCUUACCACAAGCAUUCUCUAUAAUCUCCAUCUCAUUCCUCCGCCCCCCCACAACAGAAAGCUCCAAUUUCAGUCACAUUGCUCUACCUCGGCCUUUUGUCUUUCCGCCUGAGUCACCCAGUUCAUUCCACAGUCACUGCAGUCCCCAUCACCCUGUUUCUUUCCCCUCAUCCACCCACUCUAUCUGUCCUUCUCUCACAGAUUCCUUCCACUGGGUCGCCUCCCCCAAUGUUCCCAUCUAAACAAUUCAUCUCCCUUACCUGAUUCCAUGCUCCACCAAUCAGAUUCUAUCGUCUGCAGUGCUUUGUUAUCUCCCAGCCACUCUUCUGUCCUCAGUCUGCCUAGAGCCCUUCCUAAUAACUUGUGUUGUUUUUCUCUGAGCAUUGGGUGUUUAACAGUCUUUAUUUCAUAUACACAUUUAGGAUCUUUUACCGUUCUUUGUUUUGUGGCUGCCUGUAAGGAGAUGGAUCUCUAGAUUGCGUAAUGUACAUACAUACUUUGAUAAUAAAUGUACUUUGAACCUCUUUAUACUGGCUAUCACCUCUCUGUGUUUCAGAUCAAAUUAAGGAUGUGGACUCAAAACAUCAAUGGUCCAUUUCACUCUACAGGUGCUGCCUGGGCCCCUGAAUUCUUCCAGCAUUUUAUUUGUUGCUCCAGAUUCCAGCAUUUGUAGAUUUAGUUCUCUAAUCCCAUUCCCCCAACAAGGAUCUCCCCCCCCCCCACUUCUAUGGAUUCAGCUUAAUCCAUUUAAUCUUCUAAAGCAAAGAUUCCAAAACUCCUUCCCACCCACAAAAAAUCUCCAAAGAAUGCUAUCAUUCUCAUUCUUCUCAACGUAUCACUCAGUAACUCUAUUUAUUUCCAACCAACUGCAGUCAAUGUUCUGCUCAGUAAAACAAAUUGAAAAAUACUGUCUGAACUUAUUCCCAUUUCAUUCCUCUAAUUUUUUUUUAUCUGGUUGUCUUUUGGAUUGGCUGUAUUAAAAUUGCAUGUGCUACUUUUGUUGGAAAACAAUGCUGUACAAUAUUAUACAAGAUCAAGUAUGAUUUCUGUUAUUUUUUUCCAUUUCAUUUGAAGCCAGUAACAUUUGUACCUGAAUAGACAUCUUACAUUCUGCCUUAAAAGUGAAAACACGAUUAGUUUUAUAACUCUUUCCUCAAUGUAGACCACGAGUUUAUUCCUCCCCAUUUUAACUAUUUUCCAACUCAUGCUCACCCUUCUAACUGGAAGAGCAGUAGAUGUAGUGUAUAUGGAUUUCAGCAAGGCAUUUGAUAAGGUACCCCAUGCAAGGCUUAUUGAGAAAGUAAGGAGGCAUGGGAUCCAAGGGGAUAUUGCUUUGUGGAUCCAGAACUGGCUUGCCCACAAUUGGCAAAGAAUGGUUGUAGACGGGUCAUAUUCUGCAUGGAGGUCGGUGACCAGUGAUGUGCCUCAGGGAUCUGUUCUGGGACCCCUUCUCUUCAUGAAUUUUAUAAAUGACCUGUAUGAGGAAGCGGAAGGAUGGGUUAGUAAGUUUGCUGAUGACAUAAAGGUUGGGAGUGUUGUGGAUAGUGUGGAAGGCUGUCACAGCAGGACAUUGACAGGAUGCAAAACUGGACUGAGAAGUGGCAGAUGGAGUUCAACCCUGAUAAGUGUGAAGUGGUUCAUUUUGGUAGGUCAAAUAUGAUGGAAGAAUAUAGUAUUAAUGGUAAGACUCUUGGCAGUGUGGAAGAUCAGAGGGAUCUUAGGGUCUGAGUCCAUAGGACGCUCAAAGCAGCUGAGCAGGUUAACUAUGUGGUUAAGAAGGCAUACAUUGUAUUGGCCUUCAUUCAUGGAACUGAAUUUAGGAGCUGAGAGGUAAUGUUGCAGCUAUAUAGGUCCCUGGUCAGACCCCACUUGGAGUACUGUGCUCAGUUCUGGUCGUCUCAAUACAGGAAGGAUGUGGAAACCAUAAAACGGGUGCAGAGGAGAUUUACAAGGAUGUUGCCUGGAUUGGAGAGCAUGCCUUAUGAAAAUAGGUUGAGUGAAUCGGCCUUUUCUCCUUGGAGCGACAGUAUGAGAGGUGACCUGAUAGAGGUGUAUAAGAUGAUGAGAGGCAUUGAUCGUGUGGAUAGUCAGAGGCUUUUUCCCCAGGGCUGAAAUGGCUGCCACAAGAAGGUGCAGGUUUAAGGUGCUGGGGAGUAGGUACAGAGGAAAUGUCAGGGGUAAGUUUUUAACUCAGAGAGUGGUCAGUGCACGGAAGGGCUGCCGGCAAUGGUGGUGGAGACGGAUAUGAUAGGGUCUUUUAAGAGACUUUUGGAUAGGUACAUGGAGAUUAGAAAAAUAGAGGGCUAUGGAUAACCCUAGUAAUUUCUUAGGUAGGGACAUGUUUGGCAUAGCUUUGUGGGUCAAAAGGCCUGCGUGGUGCUGUAGGUUUCCUAUGUUCUAUGUUUCUAUGUGGGUGGCAGAUUCCAACAGAAAUAAAAUUGAUCAAUGGGGAAACACUUGCUUUUCUCUUAAUUUAUAUAUUUGACUCACAAAGUUUGUUUUUCAGAAUUUCAGCCUUUCAUUUCAGAUUUCCAGUAUCCAGGAAUCUUUGUUUACCAGAUAAUCAAAGAUCACAUCUUUUCACAUCAAGAUGGUUACAACUUUUGGAUUCAGUUGAAGAGUUUGACUAAAACCACAUUCAAUUUGAUAAGAGAAAUAAUGAAAUGGAAGAUGAAGACUGACUUAAUGCAGCAGUCAAUGAAGCAAGGGCAGCAUCAAGAGCUAAAUAUGAAAUAAAAUGAAUAAAACAGAUUAUUUUCCCAAUAAAAAAUUC